GGGGAAACCUCCCUAUAAAAGCUCCUCCUGGAUGAUAAGUACAUGACAAACAGAAACUCAACACGGAAUUCAGCUGUCAGCUGCCAUGAACCUACAGCGCCUCUCCUCUCUGCUGCUCUGUGUCGCUUGCAGUGCAGUUUUCACUAUAAGAACAGCAGCCACUCACACAGCUGCACUGGAUCAUGUGACCAUGAUGUCAUCAUCAGGGGAGGGGCUUCAGAGUGCCGUGGGUGAAGAUUUGGAAUCUGAUGACGAUCAGGAUCCAUCAGGAAUGUUCAAUGAUCCAUCUUUGUUUAAAGUAACCCAAGUCAGUAGAGACGAGCAGAAUCAAAAGCGCUCUGGGCGCAAAAAGAACAAAGGACGAAAAAAGAAUAAAAUUAUCACUCCUGUUCAGCCGAAUCACACAUCCAGUCACAGGAGCCACAGCACCACCGCUGACCCCUGCCUGACCUCUCACGUGGACUACUGCAUCCACGGCCACUGCACAUACCUGCACGGCCUGAGAGAGCCCGUCUGUGUAUGUAAGAGGGGUUAUGAUGGAGAACGCUGUGGGAUCCAGCUCCUUGAGACGUCUCGGGAUGACAGCAGCACUGAAACGACCCACACCGCUCUCGUCAUCAUGGCUGUCGUCCUGUCGAUCAUCAGCUGCCUGGCCAUCCUGCUUAUGGUCUGCGUACACUAUAGAACACAUCACCGCUUUCAGGCAGCUUUCCUGACCUCCACUAACGAGAGAGAGAAACUAGAGAAGAAGAACAUUAUGGUGUGAAGAGAAAGUAGAAGUCACACUGAUGUCACUGGUGUGGAGUGCGCUACAGAUAUAUUGCACAUAAGGUGCGUCCCAACUCGCGUACUUAUGCACUAUUCUAUGCCUUUUUGUAGUAUAAACAGUGUGAGUAGUGUGCAUGCACUGAGAAGAUACCAAAAAGACAAAGUCCACUUUAAAUACCUGGAUAAUGCACUUAAUUAACUGAAAAUACAAAGUGUGAAAUGUUGGAGACUUCAUGCACUCGACUGUUGAAGCUUUAAUUACGCAACGAAGGGGGAGGGGCAUCAGACUCCAAUGUUGAAUGAUAAAAUAACCUUAUAGAAAUCAUACACUACUUGGUUAAGUACAUAGUGCAUAAGUACAUAGUGUAUAAGUGUAUAGUGCGUCAUUUGGGAUGCAACUAGAAUAAUAUAAUAAACCCUAUUGUAACUUAUUGUUUGUACCUAUUUAUUAACAAAUAUAAUUUCCUUAGUAUUUGUCUAUUUUGAUAAUAAAAAAGUAAUGUUUAUUUGAUAUGCGAUAUUUAUGUACACAUAUGAAAUAAAGGACACUCUCAUAA